CCUGGAGAUACAGCUUAGUGGCAGAGAGCUUCCCUAGUAUGUGUAAGACCCUGGGUUCGAUCCCCAGUACCAGGG
rnacentral:tRNA from 1 species